rnacentral:rRNA from 1 species
AGUGAACGCUGGCGGUAGGCCUAACACAUGCAAGUCGAACGGCAGCACAGUAAGAGCUUGCUCUUACGGGUGGCGAGUGGCGGACGGGUGAGGAAUACAUCGGAAUCUACUUUUUCGUGGGGGAUAACGUAGGGAAACUUACGCUAAUACCGCAUACGACCUACGGGUGAAAGCAGUGGAUCUUCGGACCUUUCGCGAUUGAAUGAGCCGGUGUCGGAUUAGCUAGUUGGCGGGGUAAAGGCCCACCAAGGCGACGAUCCGUAGCUGGUCUGAGAGGAUGAUCAGCCACACUGGAACUGAGACACGGUCCAGACUCCUACGGGAGGCAGCAGUGGGGAAUAUUGGACAAUGGGCGCAAGCCUGAUCCAGCCAUACCGCGUGGGUGAAGAAGGCCUUCGGGUUGUAAAGCCCUUUUGUUGGGAAAGAAAAGCAGCAGGUUAAUACCCCGCUGUUCUGACGGUACCCAAAGAAUAAGCACCGGCUAACUUCGUG